AUACUGACGCUGAGAUGCGAAAGCGUGGGGAGCAAACAGGAUUAGAUACCCUGGUAGUCCACGCUGUAAACGAUGUCGAUUUGGAGUUUGGUGGCAUGACUACUGGGCUCCGAAGCUAACGCGUUAAAUCGACCGCCUGGGGAGUACGGCCGCAAGGUUAAAACUCAAAUGAAUUGACGGGGGCCCGCACAAGCGGUGGAGCAUGUGGUUUAAUUCGAUGCAACGCGAAGAACCUUACCUGGUCUUGACAUCCACAGAAUUUUGUAGAGAUACGAAAGUGCCUUAGGGAGCUGUGAGACAGGUGCUGCAUGGCUGUCGUCAGCUCGUGUUGUGAAAUGUUGGGUUAAGUCCCGCAACGAGCGCAACCCUUAUCCUUUGUUGCCAUCGGUUAGGCCGGGAACUCAAAGGAGACUGCCGUUGAUAAAGCGGAGGAAGGUGGGGACGACGUCAAGUCAUCAUGGCCCUUACGACCAGGGCUACACACGUGCUACAAUGGCGCAUACAAAGAGAAGCAAACCAGCGAUGGCAAGCGGACCUCAUAAAGUGCGUCUAAGUUCGGAUUGGAGUCUGCAACUCGACUCCAUGAAGUCGGAAUCGCUAGUAAUCGUGAAUCAGAAUGUCACGGUGAAUACGUUCCCGGGCCUUGUACACACCGCCCGUCACACACAUGGGAGUGGGUUGCACCAGAAGUAGAUAGCUUAAC
rnacentral:rRNA from 1 species